rnacentral:rRNA from 1 species
UCAGACACGUCAGAGUUUGAUCCUGGCUCAGGAUGAACGCUGGCGGCGUGCUUAACACAUGCAAGUCGAACGAGAAUUUGGCGGACUAAUCUUUCGGGAGAAGGAAGUUGAAGGAAAGUGGCGAACGGGUGAGUAACACGUGAGCAACCUACCUUACACAAAGGGAUAGCCACUGGAAACGGUGACUAAUACAUGAUAAUAUAUAUUUACGGCAUCGUAGAUACAUCAAAGUGUUAGCGGUAUAGGAUGGACCCGCGUCUGAUUAGCUAGUUGGUGAGAUAACUGCCCACCAAGGCGACGAUCAGUAGCCGACCUGAGAGGGUGAUCGGCCACAUUGGAACUGAGACACGGUCCAA